GGGUGAGUAACACGUGGAUAACCUACCUAUAAGACUGGGAUAACUUCGGGAAACCGGAGCUAAUGCCGGAUAAUAUAUUGAACCGCAUGGUUCAAUAGUGAAAGACGGUUUUGCUGUCACUUAUAGAUGGAUCCGCGCCGCAUUAGCUAGUUGGUAAGGUAACGGCUUACCAAGGCAACGAUGCGUAGCAGACCUGAGAGGGUGAUCGGCCACACUGGAACUGAGACACGGUCCAG
rnacentral:rRNA from 1 species